GAUGAAGAACGUAGCGAAAUGCGAUACUUGGUGUGAAUUGCAGAAUCCCGUGAACCAUCGAGUCUUUGAACGCAAGUUGCGCCUCAAGCCAUUAGGUUGAGGGCACGUCUGCCUGGGCGUCACAUAUCGUUGCCUGAUGCCAGUUUCCUCGUGAUGGGUGACUGUGCAGGGCGAAUGAUGGCUUCCCGUGAGCAUUGUUGCCUCAUGGUUGGUUGAAAAUUGAGUCCUUGGUAGGGAGCGCCGUGAUAGAUGGUGGUUGAGUGACGAACGAGACCCAAUCAUGUGAGACCCCUACCUAAUUUGGCCUUCAUGACCCACAUGCGUCUUUGGAACGCUCAUGACGAGACCUCAGGUCAGGCGGGGCUACCCGCUGAGUUUAAGCAUAUCAAUAAGCGGAGGA
rnacentral:misc_RNA from 1 species